AAAAUUCGAAAGAAAAGUACCCAGGCGUAUUCUUAUACCCAUGUCUUUUGCGUACUACUUGUUUCCUUGGUGGGCUUGCCUGCCAUUAGGACACCCCUACAAACCUUUUGUAAUUGCAGUCAGCGUCAGAAAAUAACGUAAUCGUUACAACUUUCAACAACGGAUCUCUUGGUUCUGGCAUCGAUGAAGAACGCAGCGAAAUGCGAUAAGUAGUGUGAAUUGCAGAAUUCAGUGAAUCAUCGAAUCUUUGAACGCACAUUGCGCCCCUUGGUAUUCCAUGGGGCAUGCCUGUUCGAGCGUCAUUUGUACCCUCAAGCUUUGCUUGGUGUUGGGCGUCUUGUCCCGCGUUGUCGCGUGGACUCGCCUUAAAGCGAUUGGCAGCCGGCAUAUUUGGCCUUGGAGCGCAGCACAUUUUGCGCCUCUUGCCUUGAAUGUUGGCGUCCAUUAAGCCUAUUACAUUUUGCAUUUUGACCUCGGAUCAGGUAGGGAUACCCGCUGAACUUAAGCAUAUCAAUAAGCGGAGGAAAAGAAACCAACAGGGAUUGCCCUAGUAACGGCGAGUGAAGCGGCAACAGCUCAAAUUUGAAAUCUGGCUCUUUUAGAGUCCGAGUUGUAAUUUGCAGAGGGCGCUUUGGCGUUGGCAGCGGUCCAAGUUCCUUGGAACAGGACGUCACAGAGGGUGAGAAUCCCGUACGUGGUCGCUAACCUUCGCCGUGUAAAGCCCCUUCGACGAGUCGAGUUGUUUGGGAAUGCAGCUCUAAAUGGGAGGUAAAUUUCUUCUAAAGCUAAAUACUGGCCAGAGACCGAUAGCGCACAAGUAGAGUGAUCGAAAGAUGAAAAGCACUUUGGAAAGAGAGUCAAAUAGCACGUGAAAUUGUUGAAAGGGAAGCGCUUGCAGCCAGACUUGCCUGUAGUUGCUCAUCCGGACUUUUGUCCGGUGCACUCUUCUGCGGGCAGGCCAGCAUCAGUUUGGGCGGUUGGAUAAAGAACUCCAUCACGUACCACCUUUCGGGGUGGCCUUAUAGGGGAGUUGUCACACAACCAGCCUGG
rnacentral:rRNA from 1 species